AUUGAACGCUGGCGGCAGGCCUAACACAUGCAAGUCGAACGGUAACAGGAAGAAGCUUGCUUCUUUGCUGACGAGUGGCGGACGGGUGAGUAAUGUCUGGGAAACUGCCUGAUGGAGGGGGAUAACUACUGGAAACGGUAGCUAAUACCGCAUAACGUCGCAAGACCAAAGAGGGGGACCUUCGGGCCUCUUGCCAUCGGAUGUGCCCAGAUGGGAUUAGCUAGUAGGUGGGGUAACGGCUCACCUAGGCGACGAUCCCUAGCUGGUCUGAGAGGAUGACCGGCCACACUGGAACUGAGACACGCUCAAGACUCCUACGGGAGGCAGCAGUGGGGAAUGUUGCACAAUGGGCGCAAGCAUGAUACAGCCAUGCGGCGUGUAUGAAGAAGGCCUUCGGGUUGUAAAGUACUUUCAGCGGGGGGGAAGGGAGUAAAGUUAAUACCUAUGCUAAUUGACGUUACCCGCAGAAGAAGCACCGGCUAACUACGUG
rnacentral:rRNA from 1 species